CAGCUCUAUUUUUCUCUCAAAAGGCCUAGAUAAAGAUGCCCACAGAAGAGCAUUGCACUUAUCAGUGUAAUGUGUGAUGCUGUAAUUGAGUCACUCAUCCCCCUUCCCUCUCUGGUUGGGCUACACGGUAGGACUAUCAG